CUCUACUGUACAGAUCAAUGGAUGUAACUUAGUCAGACAGUCCUGGUCGUAGCAAAUUGGGAGGUUGUGAAACCAAAGACUUGAGCUGCAAAGCACACAUAUACGCCUAGGUGAGGGUUGCCUGUCUUUUGUCUUCCCCAUCUUGAAUUGGAGCAUAUGUUGGAAUUGCUUCAUGAGUUAUCCA